CAGCAGUGGGGAAUAUUGCACAAUGGGGGAAACCCUGAUGCAGCGACGCCGCGUGGAGGAAGAAGGUCUUCGGAUUGUAAACUCCUGUUGUUGAGGAAGAUAAUGACGGUACUCAACAAGGAAGUGACGGCUAACUACGUGCCAGCAGCCGCGGUAAAACGUAGGUCACAAGCGUUGUCCGGAAUUACUGGGUGUAAAGGGAGCGCAGGCGGGAAGACAAGUUGGAAGUGAAAUCCAUGGGCUCAACCCAUGAACUGCUUUCAAAACUGUUUUUCUUGAGUAGUGCAGAGGUAGGUGGAAUUCCCGGUGUAGCGGUGGAAUGCGUAGAUAUCGGGAGGAACACCAGUGGCGAAGGCGGCCUACUGGGCACCAACUGACGCUGAGGCUCGAAAGUGUGGGUAGCAAACAGGAUUAGAUACCCUGGUAGUCCACACCGUAAACGAUGAUUACUAGGUGUUGGAGGAUUGACCCCUUCAGUGCCGCAGUUAACACAAUAAGUAAUCCACCUGGGGAGUACGACCGCAAGGUUGAAACUCAAAGGAAUUGACGGGGGCCCGCACAAGCAGUGGAGUAUGUGGUUUAAUUCGACGCAACGCGAAGAACCUUACCAAGUCUUGACAUCCUGCGACGAUGCUGGAAACAGUAUUUUCCUUCGGGACGCAGAGACAGGUGGUGCAUGGUUGUCGUCAGCUCGUGUCGUGAGAUGUUGGGUUAAGUCCCGCAACGAGCGCAACCCUUACUGUCAGUUACUACGCAAGAGGACUCUGGCAGGACUGCCGUUGACAAAACGGAGGAAGGUGGGGAUGACGUCAAAUCAUCAUGCCCU
rnacentral:rRNA from 1 species